GGACCGGAGUGGACGCAUCACUGGUGUUCGGGUUGUCAUGCCAAUGGCACUGCCCGGUAGCUAAAUGCGGAAGAGAUAAGUGCUGAAAGCAUCUAAGCACGAAACUUGCCCCGAGAUGAGUUCUCCCUGAGACUAUAAGUCUCCUGAAGGAACGUUAAAGACGAUGACGUUGAUAGGCCGGGUGUGUAAGCGCAGCGAUGCGUUGAGCUAACCGGUACUAAUGAACCGUGAGGCUUAACCUUACAACGCCGAAG
rnacentral:rRNA from 1 species